rnacentral:rRNA from 1 species
UACGUAGGGUGCGAGCGUUUGUCCGGAAUUAUUGGGCGUAAAGAGCUCGUAGGCGGUGUGUCGCGUCGGCCGUGAAAACCUGCAGCUUAACUGUGGGCUUGCGGUCGAUACGGGCAUCACUGGAGUUCGGCAGGGAGACUGGAAUUCCGUGGUGUAGCGGUGAAAUGCGCAGAUAUCAGGAAGAACACCCGUGGGCGAAGGCGGUUC